AACGUAGGAGGCGAGCGUUAUCCGGAUUUACUGGGCGUAAAGCGCGUGUAGGCGGCACGGCAAGUUGGAUGUGAAAGCUCCUGGCUUAACUGGGAGAGGUCGUUCAAAACUGCCGAGCUAGAGUGCGGGAGAGGGAGGUGGAAUUCCGGGUGUAGUGGUGAAAUGCGUAGAUAUCCGGAGGAACACCAGUGGCGAAAGCGGCCUCCUGGCCCGCAACUGACGCUCAGACG
rnacentral:rRNA from 1 species